GCCAGUGCUGUGUUCUUUUUGUUUUUAUAUAUAUAUUUUUUACAAUUUUUCUAUCAUCAUCACAAUAAUUCUGAUCUCUUUAUAUGUGACAGGGACAAUUAUCAGGAGAAGCAGAAGGACAUUUACAGUUGUGAGUUUGCUCCACUGUCCCAUCACAGGCAGCUGAACAGACCCACAGGCCCCCAGCAAGGCUGGAGGGCAGGGCCAGGUAGGAAGAAGGGAAGACACAGAGGAGACAGGACAGAGAGAUGUACAAAGGAAGGUGAUUCAGAGAAAUAACAAAGAAGCUUCAUCAAAAGACAUGAUCGUGGCAGCAGCUGUAACAUGUAAAACUCUGGAGUGCAGGGGAGCAAAGCUGAUUCAAGACUGCUCACUCCAUAGGGCCCAGGCAGGCUGCAUCCAGGGUCAGCUUCCUGCCAUACUUGCUCUCCACCUGCUGCAGUCCUGAGCUCCCCAUGUUCCUGCCUUCUCUCCUGGAGAGGGCCUGCUGUCAGCUGCCACAGGAGGGCGCUGGAGAAGUGGCUCGAAGCAGAGAAGAAGGUGCUUCUCUGCAGGUCCGUCCAGCCAGCCAGGUAUCUUGCAACUUGGAGGGGAGAAUAAAGUCAAUCUUCAGGAAAACUGGCUCAACUGUUGAAAUCUCUUGUGAUAUUAAAGAAGGUGCCAGGUACAUCCACUGGUACUUCUUUCCAGAGCACAUGGUCCCAAGACGCCUUCUCUACUAUGACACUUCUUCCUCAAGCAAGUAUUUGGAUUCAGAAACCAAGGCAGAUAAAUACGAUGGUUCUAAAAUCACAGACAAGAGUUUUAAGUUGCAUCUGAAACAUUUGGAAGCAAGUGACUCUGGUGUGUAUUAUUGUGCCGUUUGGGACCAACAAAGUAAUAAGAAACUCUUCGAUAGUGGAACAACACUUGUUGUCACAGACCUUGAUGGAGCCGUUUCCCCCAAGCCCACUAUUUUUCUUCCUUCAAUUGCUGAAACAAAUCUCCAAAAGGCUGGGACACAUCUUUGCCUUCUUGAGAAUUUUUUCCCUGGUGAUAUCAAGGUAUAUUGGAAAGAAAAGAAUGGCAAUAAGAUCCUGGAAUCCCAGCAGGGAGAUACCAUGAAGACUGGCAUUACAUAUACGAAACUUAGCUGGCUAACUGUGCCUGAAACGUCAUUGGAUAAAGAGCACCUGUGUGUCAUCAAACACGAGAGUAACAAAGGAGGAGCUGAUCAAGAGAUUCUCUUUCCUCCAGUAAAGAAAGGAUUGUCAUAUGAAUUAUAUGAGACAACAGCACCUAGCACAACAGCACCUAGCAACCUAGGAUAUGUUGUCACCGCUGUUCCUUAUGCCAGAGAUGAAAACGAUGAACUGUGGCUGCAGCUCACGAAUACCUCCGCGUACUACACCUACCUCCUCCUGCUCCUCAAGAGUGUGAUCUAUUUUGGGAUUGUUGCCUUCUGUCUGAUUAGAAGAACAGCUGUCUGCGGCAGUGGGAAGAGAUCCUAAGAGAUCAUGGCACAAUGGGUUCAUCUCCUCUUCAUUGUUUAUUGUCCCCCAAAAUGUCUGCUGAGGAUCUAGCCGACCUUGCUUUUUGGAUUUGGGCUAUUUCAGCUUCUGUGUGCAUUAUUCUAUUAUAUCAUUAUUUUGUGGUGGGUUUUCAAACCAGUGGGCAAACAGAAAACUUCAUCCUAUAACUACGACAGUGAGUUGCCCAGGGCAGCCUUGAGCACAACUCUCUCCACCUUCUCCACCAGCGCCUCCAGCCAGCCCAGGUCAUCACAGCCUCAGUGUAGACAGCCCGCAGCUUCCAGCCUCACCCCUUAGUGCCCUACAGCCAGUUAUCUGCCAGAAAGCCUUCCUUUUACACGCCCUGAAGCAGCCUUCUUUGCUACUGGAAUGCUGUGCUUUGUUUUCUAUAAUAGGCACAAUAAAUUUAAACAAUGAGAAGUUUGCCCUUGUCUGUGUGUACUUUAAUUUGAUGCAAUUGAAUUGGUAAGAAACAGCAUAGCAAGGUAAGCAUCCAAGGUAAGAAGCAGCAUAGCAAUCGGGCUAUGAAAUUAUGUGUUGCUUGUAAUAAUGGUCCGAUACCACAGUUCUCAUUCUUUCCCUGAGAUAGUGCUUAUGAAUUCCCUUGGGGCACUGUCUCUGAGAGAAGCCACAGCCAAACUAUGUAGCCUAGUUGCUUUUCUUUUAAAGGUCACCAGAUUCAGAGUCUUUUGGUUUGGGACAUUCCGGUGACAACAGGGCCCCAUGUAAUGAGACUCGCACUGUGUGUACAGCUUUGCACCCGUGUUUCCUCGGCAUCAUGUUUCCUGAUCCUCACCUUAUCCCCGUGAGAGCUGCAUGAGCACCAGGAAGGCAGCGUGGCUGUGGGGUUAGGCACAUGCACAUGGGUCUUGGAGUGCCUGGGUUUGAGUCCUGGGUCUGGUAUUAGAUCUGUGUGAAUGCCAUGUGCCAUAAUUUCCUCAUGUAGAGUGAAGUUUUAGUGCCCUGUCUCCUGGAGUUGCCGUGUGGAUUAGACGAGUUAAUAACGCUUGGUGCACGCAAGUCCUCAGGAGCAUUGACUUUUACUGUUGGCAGCUCGGCUUCAUAAACAGUAGAUGCCACACGCACAAGCGCUGACAGUGAUCUCUAUUCUUACCUGUCUGCAGAGAGGUGAGGUGGGAUGGAAAAGGAUCAGUGAGUCUCUGCCACACACUAGGAGCCUCUCGUAUGGCCCA